CCUGACUAGCUACGACUCCACCACCUUGACGUUGAGGAGUCUGAUUAGCUAUGACUCCACCCCCCGGAUGUUGCCAGUUAGUGGGAGGAGCCUGAAUAGCUACGACUCCACUUGACUUUUGCUCUGCAGCAAGGAGGAGGAAGGCAGCAGAGCAGAGAGAGCUGUCCGCUGAACAUUACCGAGCAUGCUGGGAGCUGCUGCGCGUUGCACGCUGGCAUCGGCUGCCCCGUGUGCAUGGGAAAGCCGUGGGUCGUCACCGUGGUAACUGUGUAAGAUAUCGGAACAGAUCCUUGGUGCAUCUUUGGGAGGGGAAACAAGGACAUUAGUUAGAAAAUAUAAAUACAAGCUUAAAAUAACAAACAAAUAAAUAAUGCUACGGCUUCCGUACAAUUGUAAGUGCCAUGAAGGGUAAUAAACACAAAUCAGUGUGAAUAAA